CCUACGGGUGGCAGCAGUGAGGAAUAUUGGUCAAUGGGCGCGAGUCUGAACCAGCCAAGUAGCGUGAAGGAUGACUGCCCUAUGGGUUGUAAACUUCUUUUAUAUAGGAAUAAAGUGAUGCACGUGUGCGUUUUUGUAUGUACCUUAUGAAUAAGGAUCGGCUAACUCCGUGCCAGCAGCCGCGGUAAUACGGAGGAUCCGAGCGUUAUCCGGAUUUAUUGGGUUUAAAGGGAGCGUAGGUGGGUUGUUAAGUCAGUUGUGAAAGUUUGCGGCUCAACCGUAAAAUUGCAGUUGAUACUGGCAGUCUUGAGUACAGUAGAGGUGGGCGGAAGUCGUGGUGUAGCGGUGAAAUGCUUAGAUAUCACGAAGAACUCCGAUUGCGAAGGCAGCUUACUAAACUGCAACUGACAUUGAUGCUCGAAAGUGUGGGUAUCAAACAGGAUUAGAUACCCUUGUAGUC
rnacentral:rRNA from 1 species